rnacentral:misc_RNA from 1 species
GGAGGGAUCAUCAUAGGAAAAUCUUAUCUAAGGAAUAUUUUAUAUAUAUUCCUUCAAACAAACGAUCGCAACUAUGGAAACUAUAGCUAGCUAGCCUGCAAGCUUUUGAUUUGAUUGCUUGCUUGAUAAAAGUGUUUGCCUGAAACUUAUAUUGCCAUGAUGAUUUGAUGGUAUUUGAAAUCAAAUAUAUACAACUUUCAACAACGGAUCUCUUGGCUCUCACAUCGAUGAAGAACAUAGCAAAGUGUGAAAAUUAAUGUGAAUUGCAGAAUUCAGUGAAUCAUCGAGUUUUUGAACGCAUCUUGCACUUCUUGGUUUUCCAGGGAGUAUGCCUGGUUGAGUAAUGUGAAUAUAUCUUAUCAAGGUUCUUUUCUUUUUUGAAAGAUUUUAAGAGCUUUGGAGUUGAGUGCUUACCUUUUUUUUGUCUUGUCUUUUCGGACAGACAAAAAAAAGAGGUUCACUUGAAAUGAAGGGAAGUCAGUAAAACAACAGGCUAAAAGAAAGCAGACAGAUUGAUUUGGAGAGAGACAGCUUGCUUUGACAACAAUGACUUGAUUAGUUUGAGAUUGACUUGGCGUUGUGGGUGAUUUGACAGAAAAAAGUCUUGUUUAGAGCUGUUUUCUCAUGCUGCUGCUGCUGCCCUUGUUUUCUUUCCACAACUAGGAAGCGUUUCCUCUGUGUGUGAUACACAGGGAGAGAAACCUCUAUAUAUCAUUCUCAACUCAGGCAAGACUACCCGCUGAAUUUAAGCAUAUAAAUAAGCGGAGGAAAAGAAACUAACAAGGAUUCCCUCAGUAACGGCGAGUGAAGCGGGAAAAGCUCAAUUUUGAAAUCUGUCAAGAGUAAUAUUCUUGGCCGAAUUGUAGUUUCGAGAAAGAGUGACUGAGAGAAAUCAGUUGGAUGCAAGUUCCUUGGAAUGCGACAUCAGAGAGGGUGACAAUCCCGUCCACCGUUCUUCUGUGUUUCUCAUAAAGGUCCUCUUUUCAAAGAGUCGAGUUGUUUGGGAUUGCAGCUCAAAAUGGGUGGUAAAUUUCAUCUAAAGCUAAAUAUGGGUGAGAGACCGAUAGCGAACAAGUACCGUGAGGGAAAGAUGAAAAGCACUCUGAAGAGAGAGUGAAAAGUACGUGAAAUUGUUGAAAGGGAAACGCUUGAAACCAGUCAAGGUUUACUGGGAAUCAGGGGAAUAGCAGCUCGGCAGGAUUGACUGGAAGAUUGGUCUCUUUUAUGAUGGCCUGACUCUUUGGUUGGUUCUUUUGCCGUGGCGGCAUUCUCUGUAUUUUUCCAGUAAACAAGUCAGCAUCAGUUUGUGCUUGUUUGGGAGAAAGCCAACAGGAUUUGGUCAGGCUUUUGCUGGAUCAUUUAUUUGAUCCUCAACGGCUUGGAGCCUGCUUGGCACAUAUAUAAAUACCAAACGUCAGACUGAGGACUGCAGUACGAGGCAUCGUCCUGGAAUAGACACAUCUUGAGCACUAUCCUUGAUAAACAGCUUGCUGAUUGUCAGGGAUGGUAUUCAGGCUGUGUCCAAUCUGGGCAGGCUUUCGACUUUGGAUGUUGACGAAAUGGUUUUAAACGACCCGUCUUGAAACACGGACCAAGGAGUCUAACAUGGAUGCAAGUAUUUGGGUGAUUGGAAACCCAUAUGCGCAAUGAAAGUGAUUUUUUACUAGGUAGGAAGUUUCAAGCAAGAAAUUGCUUGGAACCGCACUAUCAACCAAUGUUGACUAGCUUCGGCUUGAUAGAUUUGAGUAAGAGCAUGUAUGUUGGGACCCGAAAGAUGGUGAACUAUGCCUGAAUAGGGUGAAGUCAGACGAAAGUCUGAUGGAAGCUCGUAGCGAUUCUGACGUGCAAAUCGAUCGUCAAAUUUGGGUAUAGGGGCGAAAGACUAAUCGAACCAUCUAGUAGCUGGUUCCUGC